AGAUUGAACGCUGGCGGCAGGCCUAACACAUGCAAGUCGAGCGGUAGAGAGGUGCUUGCAUCUCUUGAGAGCGGCGGACGGGUGAGUAAUGCCUAGGAAUCUGCCUAGUGGUGGGGGAUAACGUUCGGAAACGGACGCUAAUACCGCAUACGUCCUAACGGGAGAAAGCGGGGGACCUU
rnacentral:rRNA from 1 species